UGGGGAAUUUUGGACAAUGGGGGAAACCCUGAUCCAGCCAUCCCGCGUGUGCGAUGAAGGCCUUCGGGUUGUAAAGCACUUUUGGCAGGAAAGAAACGUCGCGGGUUAAUACCCCGCAAACUGACGGUACCUGCAGAAUAAGCACCGGCUAACUACGUGCCAGCAGCCGCGGUAAUACGUAGGGUGCAAGCGUUAAUCGGAAUUACUGGGCGUAAAGCGUGCGCAGGCGGUUCGGAAAAGAAAGAUGUGAAAUCCCAGAGCUUAAACUUUGGAACUGCAUUUUUAAACUACCGGGCUAGAGUGUGUCAGAGGGAGGUGGAAUUCCGCGUGUAGCAGUGAAAUGCGUAGAUAUGCGGAGGAACACCGAUGGCGAAGGCAGCCUCCUGGGAUAACACUGACGCUCAUGCACGAAAGCGUGGGGAGCAAACAGG
rnacentral:rRNA from 1 species